GAUGAACGCUGGCGGCGUGCUUAACACAUGCAAGUCGAACGAUGAAGCCCAGCUUGCUGGGUGGGUUAGUGGCGAACGGGUGAGUAACACGUGAGUAACCUGCCCUUAACUCUGGGAUAAGCCUGGGAAACUGGGUCUAAUACCGGAUAGGAGCGUCCACCGCAUGGUGGGUGUUGGAAAGAUUUAUCGGUUUUGGAUGGACUCGCGGCUUAUCAGCUUGUUGGUGGGGUAAUGGCUCACCAAGGCGACGACGGGUAGCCGGCCUGAGAGGGUGACCGGCCACACUGGGACUGAGACACGGCCCAGACUCCUACGGGAGGCAGCAGUGGGGAAUAUUGCACAAUGGGCGCAAGCCUGAUGCAGCGACGCCGCGUGAGGGAUGACGGCCUUCGGGUUGUAAACCUCUUUCAGUAGGGAAGAAGCGAGAGUGACGGUACCGGCAGAAGAAGCACCGGCUAAUUACGUG
rnacentral:rRNA from 1 species